rnacentral:rRNA from 1 species
UACGGGGGGGGCAAGCGUUGUUCGGAAUUACUGGGCGUAAAGGGCUCGUAGGCGGCCAACUAAGUCAGACGUGAAAUCCCUCGGCUUAACCGGGGAACUGCGCCUGAUACUGGAUGGCUUGAAUCCGGGAGAGGGAUGCGGAAUUCCAGGUGUAGCGGUGAAAUGCGUAGAUAUCUGGAGGAACACCGGUGGCGAAGGCGGCAUCCUGGACCGGCAUUGACGCUGAGGAGCGAAAGCCAGGGGAGCAAAACGGGG